ACACUUUGUGUAAGAGGGGAGGAGUGAUGAACAACACACAGCGGACUAUAUAAGACAGCGGUUAUUAAAGCAGUCCCAAAUGUUUAUCAGAAAGAGUCUUAUUUAGCUCUAUUCACCUCAUCACUGACCUCUCACCAUGUCAGGAGCUGGAGCUAUUAUUAACUUUUUGAGGAGCCGUGUUGGAGGACUGGGGAUCUCCAGUCUUAUUCUGGCUGCAUUAGAGAAAAUGAUGGAUGUUAACUUUGUCUGUCCUUGCAGACCUGGGUUAAAUGAACUCAUAGGGGUUUGUUAUGGCGCAGUCCCUUGCAUUGGUUGCUUUUUGUUUACCUGCCGUUUCGUAGAUCUAGGGCCAGGGGAUGGUGAAACACAAAACGGCUCCUUAUGUAAAAAAAUUCGCUUUUCUGCUCUUGUAGCCUUGAUCUGGCUGUUUUUUUUUUUUAUCGACGGCCGAUACAGUGCCUGUGUAUUUUCACACUGGGGUGGUCAGUACACAGAUACUGGCACUAUGAAGUGGUGCAAACCGACUGGAAAUGAAACACUCAUGUUUGAAAGUCAGCUUGAGACUCAGAAGUUUAUUACCACAUCUCAGGUUUUUGGAUUCCUGAUAUUUGGUGUGAUCAUUGCCAUUGUGGGUUCUGGUAAAUUUGAAACACAACAAAAUUAACCUGAAAAAAAAAAUAACCUGCAAACUUUAGUGUUUGUGACGAGAAAUAUCUUCUUCUAAGAACUAUUACCUCCAACACUGGACAUUGUACGAAUACAAAUUCUAGAUAUCAAUUUUUUAAAAUGUUUGUCCCUAAAGAUCAAUCUGUUUCUAAUCUGAUUCUAUUAUUCAUGUAAGUUCAAGUAAAUAAGCUACUUUGAUUUGUUAUAAUCUUUA